rnacentral:rRNA from 1 species
AUUGAACGCUGGCGGCAUGCCUUACACAUGCAAGUCGAACGGUAACGGGCCUUCGGGUGCCGACGAGUGGCGAACGGGUGAGUAAUACAUCGGAACGUGCCCGAUCGUGGGGGAUAACGAGGCGAAAGCUUUGCUAAUACCGCAUACGAUCUACGGAUGAAAGCAGGGGACCGCAAGGCCUUGCGCGGACGGAGCGGCCGAUGGCAGAUUAGGUAGUUGGUGGGAUAAAAGCUUACCAAGCCGACGAUCUGUAGCUGGUCUGAGAGGAUGAUCAGCCACACUGGGACUGAGACACGGCCCAGACUCCUACGGGAGGCAGCAGUGGGGAAUUUUGGACAAUGGGCGCAAGCCUGAUCCAGCCAUGCCGCGUGCAGGAUGAAGGCCUUCGGGUUGUAAACUGCCUUUGUACGGAACGAAAAGCCUUCUUUUAAUACAGGAGGGUCAUGACGGUACCAUAAGAAUAAGCACCGGCUAACUACGUG